GCCCGUUCGCUCGCGUUCUCUCGCGCGAACAAUGGCGUCGCACGGCAUGUAUUUGGCGGUUGCGGCUGCCGCAACAGCUGAUUUUGAGAAAAUGGCGCUUGCAACGGUGCUUCCCUGCUACGUUGGCGUUUCUCGAAGCAGAUGCAGAAUGGUAGGAGGUGCGAAAUGCGUUUGAAGAGAUGAGCGAGUGUGAAUUCCAGCGUCGCUUUCGUUUCUCGAAACGUGCUGUACGUUGGUUGUGCGACGAACUCGACCCCGUCAUCGGGUGCCAACAAACCAGUGGGAUUUAAACAGAGCGGAAGGUGUUGUGCGCGCUGAGAUUUUUUUGCGAUCGGAUGCUUCCAGCGAGCUGUCGGCAGCGAGGAAUUCAUCGGCCUGUCGCAGUCGUCCGUCAGGAACACGCCAUUACUGUCGUUCGCGGGCAAAAACGGUGGGUGGCCUUUCCGGAGACCACAGAAUCGAAGAGCGAACAAAGGCGGCGUUCGCGCGGCUCGGGCGGAUUCCCGUUGUGGUCGGGUGCGUGGAUGGUACGCUCAUCGCCAUCCAGAAGUCCCAUGGUCUGAGCUCCGCGGACACGACGCAUUACAUGUCGCGGAAGGGAGUCUACGCAUUGAACACCGUGAUCACAUGUGAUGCCGACCUCUGGAUGUCAGUCCAUGUUUCCUGGGGUCAUGUCAUGACUCGUGGGUAUGGCGGGGGAGCCCUCUCCGUCAGCACCUGAAAGCAAAACUUCGGCUUGCUUGGAGACUCCAGCUAUACAUUAGAACCG